UACGUAGGAGGCAAGCGUUGUCCGGAAUUACUGGGCGUAAAGCGCGUGUAGGUGGUGGGACAAGUCUGCUGUGAAAGCGCCUGGCUUAACCGGGCGAGGUCGGCGGAAACUGUCCGACUCGAGGACGGUAGAGGGGGGUGGAAUUCCCGGUGUAGUGGUGAAAUGCGUAGAGAUCGGGAGGAACACCUGUGGCGAAGGCGGCCCCCUGGGCCGGCCCGUGACACUGAGACGCGAAGGCGUGGGGAGCGAACGGG
rnacentral:rRNA from 1 species